UACAGAGACCUCAAGCGUUAUCCGGAUUUAUUGGGCGUAAAGGGUCCGCAGGUGGCUAUUUAAGUCAUGCGUCAAAUCUCUGGGCUCAACCCAGAAACUGCGUGUGAUACUGGAUAGCUAGAGGCUGGGAGAGGUGCACGGAAUUACUGGUGUAGCGGUAAAAUGCGUUAAUAUCAGUAAGAACACCAAAGGCGAAGGCAGUGCACUGGAACAGUCCUGACACUCAGGGACGAAAGCGUGGGGAGCGAAAGGG
rnacentral:rRNA from 1 species